rnacentral:RNase_P_RNA from 1 species
ACAACAGUUCGGUCUGUCGCUGACGCCAAAAGGCGGAAGAGGAAAGUCCGGGCAACAAAGGGCUCCAUACUUCCUAACGGGAAGGUCUCUGCACACUGGUGCGGGGAACAGACAGUGCCACAGAAAAUAACCGUCCCGACGGUAUCCGUCGGGAUAAGGGUGAAAACGUGAGGUAAGAGCUCACGGCUUGUUAUGGUAACAUAACAUGCGGGUAAACCUUAUGGGUUGAAAGACCAAAUAAACCGGAGGUUGAGGGCUGCCCGCCCGAUUCCGGAGGGUAGGUCGUUAGAUUGCUCAGGCGACUGCGUGACCAGAUAAAUGGCAGACUAAAACAGAACCCGGCUUACGGAACUGUUGUUUUA